AUUGAACGCUGGCGGCAUGCUUUACACAUGCAAGUCGAACGGUAACAGGCCUUCGGGUGCUGACGAGUGGCGAACGGGUGAGUAAUGCAUCGGAACGUACCCAGAGGCGGGGGAUAACGCAGCGAAAGCUGUGCUAAUACCGCAUGUGAUCUGAGGAUGAAAGCGGGGGACCGAGCAGCAAUGUUUGGCCUCGCGCCUUUGGAGCGGCCGAUGUCGGAUUAGCUAGUUGGUGGGGUAAAGGCCUACCAAGGCGACGAUCCGUAGCUGGUCUGAGAGGACGACCAGCCACACUGGGACUGAGACACGGCCCAGACUCCUACGGGAGGCAGCAGUGGGGAAUUUUGGACAAUGGGCGCAAGCCUGAUCCAGCAAUGCCGCGUGCGGGAAGAAGGCCUUCGGGUUGUAAACCGCUUUUGGCAGGAACGAAACGGUGUCCGCUAAUACCGGGCGCUAAUGACGGUACCUGCAGAAUAAGCACCAGCUAACUACGUG
rnacentral:rRNA from 1 species